GAUGAACGCUGGCGGCGUGCCUAAUACAUGCAAGUCGAACGCUGAAGGAAGGAGCUUGCUCUUUCCGGAUGAGUUGCUAACGGGUGAGUAACGCGUAGGUAACCUGCCUGGUAGCGGGGGAUAACUAUUGGAAACGAUAGCUAAUACCGCAUAACAGUAGAUGUUGCAUGAUAUCUACUUAAAAGGUGCAAUUGCACCACUACCAGAUGGACCUGCGUUGUAUUAGCUAGUUGGUGAGGUAACGGCUCACCAAGGCGACCAUACCUAGCCGACCUGAGGGGGUGAUCCGGCACACAGGGAAUGAGACAAGGGCCAGAAUUCUACGGGAGGCAGCAGGAGGGAAACUUCGGCAAUGGACGGAAGGCUGACCGAGCAACGACGGGGGAGUGAAGAAGGGUUUCGGAGCGUAAAGCUCUGUUGGAAGAGAAGAAAGAGCGUGAGAGUGGAAAGUUCACGCUGUGACGGUAUCUUAACAGAAAGGGACGGCUAACUACGUG
rnacentral:rRNA from 1 species